rnacentral:rRNA from 1 species
UACGGGGGGGGGCAAGCGUUGUUCGGAAUUACUGGGCGUAAAGGGCGCGUAGGCUGCUCGUUAAGUCGGGUGUGAAAACUCUGGGCUCAACCCAGAGCCUGCAUUCGAAACUGACGAGCUAGAGUUCUGGAGGGGAAAGCGGAAUUCCUGGUGUAGCGGUGAAAUGCGUAGAUAUCAGGAGGAACACCGGUGGCGAAGGCGGGUCUCUGGGCCGAUAUUGACGCUGAGGAGCGAAAGCGUGGGGAGCGAACAGG